GAAAGAAUUCUGAGUUUUGUUACAUUAUGGCACAUGUCUUCUGGAAUAUUGCCGGACAAGAAGUUUUUAUUAAGAUCCAAAGUUACUAGUGAAGAGAUCUGCAAUGUUGAUCUUGGUAAAAUACCAGAAAUUCGGUUGCUUUUCAUGCUCAAAAUUUUUAGGCUACCAAGAUUACUAAUAUUUAAUGGAAUCUGUUCUUGCAGAAAAUUGAAGUCCACGUUCAGGAUCUCCAGCCUCGACAGGUUACAGAGUGAAGAUGGAAUGGCUCCUUCAAAAGAGUUGUUAGCAAUAAUCAACUGUUCAAGAUUUGGUAAUUGACCAAGACUUGACGGUAUCCACCCAGAAAAGUUGUUGACGCUAAAAUCCAUGAAUUUUAAACGGCGCAAGUGAGCUAACUCUCCUGGAAGUUCGCCGUGAAAACUGUUGCCACUAAGAUCGAGGUAAAUUAGAAAGGAUAGGUUUCCUAAAUGCGGAGGGAUGCUACCUGUUAAUCCCAUGUUUGAAAGAUUCAACUCUGCAACUCUGUGGUGGCGCGAAUUGCAGGUGACUCCAAUCCAGCUGCAUGCCGAGGCAUUGAUGGACCAGUUGUUAGCUGUUACUUGUUUGGGAUCUAUAGUGAUAGUCUCCUUUAAAGAAAGAAGAGCAGAUUGAUCAACAUUUAUGCCUGCAAUUGGUCUGGUUAAGAAAGACAAGUUAUAUGACAUCAGUACAAUUGCCAAAGAAAUCAGAAAGCAGAUUCUUUCCAUGGUAAUAAUAUUCUUUUGGAUUGUUAUAGUCUAUUCUGUGAUAUGCAGCACCUUUGAGUUCCUUAAAUAAGAAGCUCCUUCGUUCUACCCCAAUCGUAUGAAUCUUUGUAGUCUUUAGUGGAUAAUUUGAGCAUUAUGUAGUGUGUACUCUUUUGUUAUUUGGAAUUAGUCUUAGUCCCUGUUUUACUGUAAUUAAGUCAAAACUCUUUAUUUCUCACACACUUUCAACCACACAUUUAUAUAAUAAAAUAUCCUGCAUGUAAAUCCAAAUUUUUUUCAUACUUUCUAAUCACACAUUCUACAAAAAAAUCACUACUCAAAACAUCGUUUUUCCCAAUUUCUCGACCAUCAAAAGGGCUUAGUUUGAUGUUGUGUACUCAUUUUGCAGUCACUUGCAUUUUCUUGGUAUUUCUUGUUUUAGGCCAUGUUUUGAACCACAUAAAUUAUAUUUUUUCGGUCUCUUUUUUCGAUUUGGCCUAAAUCGGAAUUAGUGCUUAUUCACAACUCAAAGAAUAUUUUCCUCCAAGGUUAAGUAACCACGAAAGUGGUUCCAGAAUAUAUUUUGUAUGCAAUAUUUAACGUUAUACUAGUUUAUAUUUGUGUGUACUCUACGGUGAUGUAAAACUCACGUUCAUUCCAGGACUUGGCCUGAAGCUAUGCAUUUGCUGGCAUUGACUGGAAUUUAUUGCAAGUCAAUGCUUCUUCCAGUCAAAUGCAAUCCCAAAUUCCCAAUCAAAGACUAAGUUUAACCAAGACCAGGAUGUGUAAGAAUUCCUAUCAAACAAGUGACUUCAUUAUAAUAACAAAAUUAUUAUCCAACUCGAUGGUUAAAAUUUAGGGCCUAAUCAACAAUUAAUAUAAAAAGUCCUACUUUAAUGCAGUACAAAUUUUACUUUUAAUUGUAAGUCUUUGAUUUUACUUCCAUCAUACCCUCAAUUAGCAUUGAUUUUACUUGCUCGUGGUUGGUAUUGAUUUAAAUCAGAUUUUAAGCUAAGUCAAAAUCAAACAAUUAAUAUUAACCCCAUAUUUUCAUGGGUUCUAUAACUUUUCAAUCAUCCAUCUCAGUAAUUUUUAUCAAAAUCUACUAAAAAUCUAAUUUCAAUCACAUUGCACUACAAAAUUUAAAGUGUAUGUUAUAAGUUUGAUUCAAAGUUCAUUUCUAAUAGAUUCCGAGUUUUUUAGAAUAUGAACAAAAAUGAGUGGGUUUGUUGGAUUUGUAGUUUAAACUUUGAGGUCGAGAAAUGGAAUGUUCACAAUAUAUGCAAAUUCUCAACAACCACUAAUUCAUUCGUUGUGAUAUUUUUAAAAAAUCAAGAACUUUAAUAACAAGGAUCGCUCUAGUAACUCAAUUCAUCUGUGUAGAUAAACGUCUACCAAAUAACAAAUAGAAAUGUAAACGAUGCUUACCGGAAAUAGCAACCUCGAAAACUUGGACUAUUGAGAUUAGUCGUGCUAUCAUCACCUUCGCGUAUAAUAUUUUUGUGGUAGAAUCAUGAAUGUUUUAAUCUAGUAGGUUUUUUUUUUAUUUUUUAUUUUUUCAUGCCUCAUAUUUUUGAAAGUUUUUUUUUUUUUUUUUAAAGCAUUAGCAAGAUUUUUUUGAUUUAAUUGUCCCAAUAAUCACUAAACUUAUGUGAGUAUUUUCGACCGCUUACUAAAUGUGUUUUUAUUUGCAUGUACGCUACGGUGAACGUACCCACUCACGUUCAUUUCAGGAAUUCGCCUUUGUCUCUGCAUUAGCUGGCAUUGACUGGAAUUUAUUGUAUGUCCAUGCAUCAUUUUCAGGACAUAUAUUUCCACAGAAAUGCAAUCUUUGUGCUCAAACUAAUCUAUGAAUGUGUGGCCAAGAAGAGUUAACAUUUGGAUGGUCAAGACGACUCUAACUAUCAGUCGUUUGUGUUAUGAAUUAAUCAUAAAAUAAUGACAAUAAUGAAAUAAGUAAGAAAAAAAUAAGUACACCAAAAUUUAUGUGGAAACCCAAGACAGGAAAAAAUCACAGAAGGAUGUGAAGAAAUCCAUUAUAAAUAAUGGUAAUUAUUAGGGCUAGACAAACUCCCGAACCAAACCCGAAUCCAAAUCAAACUGAAUAGUUCUUUUUAAAUUAAAUACUCGAACGAAUAUCUGAAUUGAGAAUCGAUAGGUAGGUUCGGUUCGAUUCUAGACCUAGAACCGAAGAACCAAAUAAGAACUGAAUUCCUCUAAUUUUUUUAAUUAAUUAAUUUUAAAUAAAACAAAUUAUUUUAUUUUUUCUAAAUAAAUUUACUAACUAGUUAAUUUAGGUAAAACCUAAAAAUAUAAUUUUCCUAUUUCUAAUUUUCAGUUCCAAGCCAACCUAAUUAAAUUGACCUAAGUUUUAUUCAAAUUUGUUACUCUACCGUAGUGUCGUUUCUACCAUUCUGAAAAAUCAAAUUAAAGCUCAACAAAGCCUUUCUUAAUUAUUAUGAGCUUACUAUCUUCCUGUUCUUGUGAUUUUAACAAUCAAAUUUAUGAAGAACCCGACAAAGAGAGAUGCAAAAGAUAUAUAAGAUUGGACUACGUUUUUUUUGUAAGAGCUAAGAUUGAACAUAUCAUUAGUUGAAUUAAUGUAGCUUUAUAAAUAUUAAAAAAUUUAAUUAUAAUACAGAACAUGGGAAUUGAAUGGAAUCGAACCGAACCAAACUGAAUGAACCUGAACGAUUUCAUAAUUAAAUUUGGACUCAACGAUUUCACUUAAUAAAUACCCGAAAAUUUUGGGUCCGAUUUGGUUCUCGUUAGAACCAAACCAUGUCCAACCCUAGUAAUUAUAUUUUCAACAACAUCUCAAUACUCUCAACUAGAUCUAAAACUCUCAAGAUGUUUUACGAAUGUUGUGGGAGCUAUAGAAGCUGUGACUUAUAUGUAUGAAACCCUAGAAAUCAAGUUGUAAAUAAAUAGGAGUCCAAAAACGUGUUAAAAUGCGAAAUGGGCCUGUGUCGGAUAACCCUAUCGCUCGAGCGACAACCCCGCUGCUCAAGAGCCAGAUGGGCGACAAGUCUCUGUAAAAAAAUAUACAAGUGCCGCUCGAGCAAAAAUGCAACGACUUUUCUUUCCAAUUCAUGAUUUUGAUCUCUUCAAGACAACUUCAACUAGACCUCCAAAACUUGCUAGAAUUUAUGUCACAUUACAACAAAUCUCCACCUUGAACCAAAUUCCAAUUCAAGGAAUUCCAAAGACACAUGUCCAAAGUAAACACCACUCAUUAUCUUCCAAACAAACCCCAAUGGGCUAGAUCAAUAACAAACCCUAAUUAAGUUCUAGCAAUGGUCAAACUUAGUAAUGAGAAGUAGUUUUGUCAUCAUAUCAAUAGAAUUAUCCUUGAUAUCAACCUUGCUCAGUACAAUAUUACUAUGAGAAAUCACUUUACACACAAAAUGAUACCUCAUAUCAAUGCGUUUAGUCCUUUCAUGAAACAUAUAAUCCUUAGUCAGAAAAAUAGCACUGUGACUAUCACAAUAUACUAUAAAAAUUUGCAAAUUUUCACUGAUUUCACCAAUCAAUCCUUUUAACCACAUAGCCUCCUACAUGCCUUUGUAAUAGUCAUAUACUAUGUCUCUAUUGUACACAAAGUUACUGUAUUUUUAUGAAAUAGCUUUCCAACUGAUAGCACAGCCUCCAACGUUUAAAAUACACCCUAUAAGUGAUCUUGAUGUGAUCCAAGGAGGGCCAGGAAUUUCCAAGGGUUCGGAGCGAGUUGAGAAGAGGUUUAUGGCAAGGGCAAAACCAAUUAGAGUCAACAAAGCCAUACAAUUUCUUGUUCGAGAGACGGAGUCAACAAGCCAAAUUACAAGUUAUAUGUUGGUCUUGAUGGUAAAAUCUUGUUUGGUGCGUUGGAUUCAAAGUUUUGGAGGAUAUAUGAAAAAACGAAUAGCGUGGAUUAAAAUGGACAUAACUUUCAGCUCAAGCGUCAGAUUUUCGUCCAUGAGUAUAAUUCGGAAUCAUCACGAAAUUCUGCACAAGGAAAAAAGAGGUUUCAAAUUUAAUACUAUGCGAACCGCAUAGUAUAAAAGGCAUGCGACCGCAUAGACCAUUCCCGAGACCAAAUUGAAAGAUUUCAAAUGGACUAUGCACUAUGCGACCACAAGGUAGUAAUUCAGGGGUGAAGUUUCCUUUUACACGAAACCUUUUAUUUUAGUUAGGAUUCUUAUUUUUGGCAACUUUUAUAUUCUUAGGACUCUAUAAUUCCCUUUUUACCAUGUUUCUAGGUUUUAAUAUAAAUAGGAUUUUAUUCUUUCAUUGUAAGACAACAUUGAUAUUUUGAGAGAAUUAAUUCAAAGGGGCUGUUUGCUUCCAAUUUCUUUAUUUUUAAUUGAACAAUCAAACUCAUAAAGGAAUUCGUUUUCUUAUGGCAUUCACAAUUUCGGGUGAGAUUUGUACAACGUGUAAUUGAGAAGUUGUUGGUUUAAUAUACCUUCGGUUGCUUAAUUCAUUGUUUACGGGUUUAAUCCAAAACCUUCGAUUCUUUGCCGUUCUUGGGAUCCAGUUUCAGUCUUGUGUGGGUUUGGUAGCCGCUGUUGCUACGUGGGUUCACAUUAGAUCUCCUCUUAUCAAGAUGUCUUGCAUAAUUUGGAUCCACAUACCUAAUUACUCCAUUUGUAUUUCUACCAAAAUGCAAACAAACACUAGUGGGGUCAUUAAAGUAUCUAAAUAUCCAUUGCACUGCUUUUCAAUGUUCAUUAUCGAGAUUUGUCAUGUAUCUACUAACUGCACAAACUACAUUAGCCAAAUUUGAUCUUGUACAAACCAUAGUAUACAUAAGCGAAUCAAUUGCCCUGGAAUAAGAAACCCAAGAUAUAUAGUCAAUGUGUUCAUUUGAUUAAGGAUACAAUCCAGAUGAUAGUUUAAGUGGGAAGAACAAAGGAGUACUAACAGACUUAGCAUUCAGCUUAUUAAACCUUUGAAACCCCUUCUCAAUGUACCCCUUCUGACUUAAUGUACAUUUGGAGGCUAUGUUAUUAGCUAGAAAGUUACUUUACAAAAUACAAUAGCUUUAUCUACAAUAGAUACAAAAUACAUUACCAUUACAGAAGCAUGCAAGGAGGCUAUGUGGUUGAGAGGAUUAAUAGGUAAAAUCAGUGAAUACUUGCAGAUUUCUAUAAUAUACUGUGAUAGUAAGAAUAUUAUUUUCUUGACUAAGGAUCAGAUGUUUAAUGAGAGAACUAAGCACAUUUAUAUGGGGUAUCAUUUAAAACGUGAUGUGAUUGUCUGUGGUAAUAUUAUAGUGAACAAGGUUGACAGCAAGGAUAAUCCUACUAAUAUGAUGACAAAACCACUUUUCAUCACUAAGUUUGAGCAUUUGACGCCGGGUAGGAUAGUGAUUAUCCUAUUGGCUUGUUGUAGAAGAUGAUUCGCAAGAAAAGAACGAUAGAAAAUGCCCAAAAAAAUAGAGAAAAUACUCUGAAUUCAACUCAAUAUUAUUAAUAAUGCAAAAUGAUGAAAACUAACCCACAAGCCGGGUUAAAUAGCUGCGAAAUACGAAAUUAUGGGAAAAUUACCAAAAAUGGCAAAAUCCCAAAAUUAUACCAAAAUAAAAUAUUAAGUAAAAGAAGUAAGUUGCCAAAUAUUUGGCUCAAUUCGAGUUUUCUAACAUAUGGAAAAAAGGAAACGAAAUAUUACCAUAAAUAGUAAAAAAUAACUUAAAAUUGAAUUUUGGAAAGGAAAACAGUGAAUUCUGGGCUCAAAAUUGACGUCCAUCGAGCACAGCUGGGUGGCCACGACGUGCGCGCCGAAGAGAGCUUUCCGAAUUGGGGUCAUAAUGGCGAUUCCGAUAACCGUAGCCAAAGUUAUGGCCAAAUUACCAAAGACGCGUCAAAUUCCCCUAAUUAAGGAAAUAAUGGUGAUUUACUUUCCAUCUUUGCGCCGAUCCGCCAUCUCAUGGUAUCUCAGCGCCAUCAUCGUGCUAUCUGACAAAUCAGUAUCACUCGACUCGGAUCCUCCUGCAUCAGCAUUGCUUGAACUUAAUUGGUAUUUGUUAUUGAUUUAGCCCAUUGGUGCUUGUUUAGAAGAUGAGUGGUGUUUACUUGGAGAUGCAUUUAGAAUUCCUUGUGUUGAAAUUUAGUUCAAAAUGGAGAUUUGUUGUGGUGUGAUUUAAAUUCAAUGUGAUUUGGUGUUCGCUUGAGCAGAAGAAGUCUAAGGAGCUUUGGUUUUAAGUCCUAAUUAAUGGAGAUCAAAUUUCAUUAGAGAUGGAAACGGAGCGAAGGUGGUGCCCGCCCUACCCCAUCUCGCCAAAAUCCCUAAGGCGAAGCGGGGCAACUUUUUGUCCCGUUUAAUUUUUUUUAGUAUUUUAUUUUAUUUCACAUUUUCAAAAUUUUGAGUUAUAUUAUAAUUAGAGAAUAAAAUACAAAUUUAAAAUGAGUCUUUUAGCGGGUAAAUUAUCUAAAAGUAAAAUUAUUUUUAUUCUUUUUUUUUUUUUUUUAUCUUCACGGGGCGGGUUUAGGGCGGGGCAUCCGCGCCCUGCGAUGGGGCACCCCGCCCCGCCCUGCCUCCGCCAAAUCGUUCAGGGCGGGGCGGGAAUUUUUUGCCAUCCCUAAAUUUCAUCAAGUUAGGAGUUUGGCUUGAAAAGAGGACUUUGGGAUGGUGAAAAUAUCAUUGGAAGAAUAAAAUUUGAGAGUGUGGCACUGGGGCACCAUCGUCGGGCUAAACGCCCAGCUUUUAGCGUUGAGGCGCCACCUAGACAAAUUUUUCGACAUUUUGUGGAUUUUAUGAAUUCUUCUACAACUUGAAUUCCACCAAAAAAUUUAAAAAAUAAAAAAAUAGAAAAAGAAAAAAAACACACACACACAAUUUACUAUUGAUUAUAGUACAUUUCUCCUUCUCUGCCUAUGAUUUUUUCCAUCUUGGAUUUUUAUAUAAUUUUUUGUGUUCUUAUUUUGUUCUUGUUUUUUUCAUUCUUGUCAUUAUCUUGCGACCAAUUUGUUACAAGUGGUAUUAGAGCGAUUCUAGUAACUUGUUUAUUUCUAAUACAUAUGAAUGGUUCACAAUCAAUAUAAUUACUAGUGCUGAAAUUUACACAGUUAUCUUUUUGAAGAUCCAAGAAAUUUCAGGAUUUGGAGAAAACUUUGUAAUCCUCCCUUGUCCUUUUAGUUGACAUAGACACCGGUCAUCUAAUGAAAUGAGGAUGGGAUGCUACAUUGAGAAUGUUCGAGAUAGCUUAGCUGGUAGGGCAGUGGACUGGAAAUCCUUGUGUCACUUGUUCAAAUCUAGUUUGUCAUAGACAAGAAAAAUGAGGAGCAAGGAAAACAACCAAAGUGCAAUUGGACAAAGAUCAAGCAAUUGAUGAGAACUACAUUUUGGCCCAAUUCCAUUAUUUGGGGAUCCGAAAAUGCAUUUUUCAUUAUUCUAUAUAAUCUUAAUUUUAAUUGGAUUAGAAUUUUAAUUCCAUUUAGGGAUUGAUUUUAUCCUUACCAUUAUUUAGAAGUUAGUCAUUAUUUAAAUUUUAUUUACUGUUCUAAAUACACGUUGUAAUAAAUUUUUAUAAUCAUAUGAAUUUUGAAUUAAAUUAAGAGUCUUGAAAUGCUUGCCAAAAUAAUUAUCUCGUUCUUGGUAUUUGCUCUUUCAAAUCAACAAAUUUGAGUUUCUGUGAGAUUUUAUUCUUUCAUGUAAGCUUCCACUACGUGUGCAAGUAGCUGGACUUUAAUCUAAAACAGUGAUUCUACCAAUCCUUCAUGCUUGGCCUAUCUUAAGGAGAUUCUGCCGCACAAUUCAUAGUUAUGCACGUAAGAAUACACUUUAGCUUUUCAUUCGAGAGUCCUUCCUGUGUACUCAACUAAGUUGGCAUCUAUAGUCGCAUCUAUUGCGUACGGAACUUCAUCAGUUACCCUUCCGCUUCAUAUUCUGCAAGCAUUAUAUUACGUAAUAAGAAACACGAAGUUUUGAAUGGAACUGAAACAUUUGGGAAAGAAAACUGUAGCAGACAAGGGCUAUAUCCGGCUCUUUUGGGGGAUUCUACGCACUAUUUUUAUUAUUAUUUUUUUUUUUUCAAAUAACUGCAAGUGCGUUCAACUUCACCAGAUUAGAUUCAUCUAGAAGACCGCAGUGUUUGUGCAAUUCGACUUUAGAAGCUCAUCAGUCGCAGCUCAGUACGUUUAGCCUUCAAGCUCUGCAUAUAAAUAAUGAAUAAUGAAUAUGAGUUACAACAAUUUGUGUCAAAUGUUUCAAUUGUUUAUUUUGCUCUGGAAUUUAUCCAAGUGAUUAAUUGCGUAAAUAUCAUUUUCUGGGUUUCCAGAAUUCUCAUGAAAACUUUAUGAAAGCUAGUUUUGAGUUUAAAGUGGAUACCAUAAUAUAAAUAAUUGAUUUAUUUAUGCAUGUACCACGUGAUCUAUCAUUUAUGAUGUGACUGUUGUUUUCAAAAUUUUGGUUAAUAACCAAUAAAUUGACUUUAUAUGCAUUUGAAACUGUCCAGAAUACUCCUACUAUCUGCAACUUUCUCCCGUAAUUCGAGUAUUUUAGGGUGUUCAAGUUUAUUGUAGUCAAGAAGAGUAAGUUCUUAUCUCGUUCAUCGAGUUCAAUGUAACAAUGUAUUAGGAGACAGUGUUACAAUGUCAAUCUUUCCUAAUGGUAUCAAUGUACGGAUGAUUCGAUUUUGAGAAAAUUUGUUUUUGCAUCAAACUUUAUGGUUCGACAAAUUUACUAUCUCCUUAAGUUCUUGUGUUUGUAUUUAUGUUCAAUUUUUCCUAUUUUAGUAGUUUCGAGUUAUUUUAUGUUCAAUUUAUUCCAUUAUGUUCGUACUAUCAUGUCCUGAUGAUAUCUCCAUGGAUAUUGCUGGGAUAUUCAUGAUUUGUAACUUCACUAUUGAGGAGAAGCUUAUAAAUAUGCUCAAGUUUUCCUUUCCAAAAUGUCUCAUUUAGACCCAAAAGACAAAUAGUUCACCAAAGAACAGGAAUCUGGAGGCAUAUAGACCUCGGCUUGUAGUAAAUAUGGAGGUCGAGUAGAGUUGUAGGAAAAAUUUUAAAAAGCAGCUAGGAAAGUAAGAAUAAUGCGAAUUUCUACUAGUAUUUGCAAUUAAUGUUGAUUUUUCUGAAAUCAAACUGGAUGAUGCCACUUUUGUUGGAGGAAAUAGUGGAGGAUGGCCGGUUCCACAAUAGCCUUUGAAUGGAAAAAUCCCAUUAAAAAAAAAAAAAAGAAGCUGAAAAUGUAAACAAUAUCAAAGGGUCGAAAAUAUCCCCAAAUAAGAGAAGAGAAAAAGAAAGAAAGAGAAAACUAAGAGAAGAUAAAACAAAAAAACAAAAUUCACAGCACCAUUGUCGAAGAUCGUCAUUUCUCAAAGAUUAGAUUUGUUUUUUUGUAAUUUACUCACCAUUGAGGUCUAACACAUGUAGGAAUUUAAUGCUACAAGAGUUUAUAAGAGUUAAAAUACAAGAAAAAGUCAUAUUUGAGGUUGAAAUGGUUAAAAAAAAGUGAAAAAAAUGGGAUGUAAGUCAUCAGAAAUGGAGUUUUUCGACAGCUCGUCGCAAUCCGGGCACCUAGCAGCGGAUCCGAACCAGGACGAUCCAGAUCCGAACCACAACCCAAACGUCCGAUUCCAAGCCCACCUUAUCUUUCCAAAUUCAUUUUCAUUUAUUUUCUGAAUAUUUUAAGAAGAAAUUAAAUUAAAUAUUAAUUUUUUAUUAAAGUAAGAAUGUCCAUAAUAUUUAAAUAUUAAUUUUUUUAUUCAAAUAAGUUAUUAAAUUAAAAAAUAAGGUAAUGAAAUAUUAAAUAAUUAAUAAGUUAUUAAAAUUCUUUAUUUAAACAAGUGAUUAAAAAAAGUAAUUAAAUAUUAAAUAAACAAUAUACAUAACCAAUUAAGAUAAUUAAUUAAUGAAAUAUUUAAAUAAGAACUUAAAUUAAAUACUAAUUUUUUAUUUAAACAAGUAAUUAAAUAAAUAAUUAAAUAGAGUAAUUGAAUAUACAUAAUCAAUAAAGGUAAUUAAUAAAGAAAUAUUUAAAUGAGAAAUCAAAUUAAAUAUUAAUUUUUAUUUAAAUAAGUGAUUAAAAUAAUAAUUAAAUAAGAUAAUGAAAUAUUAAAUACUUAAUAUACAUAAUCAAUUAAGAUAAUUAAUUAAAAUAUCUAAAUAAGAAAUUAAAUAAAAUAAGAAUUUUUUAUUUAAAUAAGAGAUUAAACAAAUAAUUAAAUAAAGUAAUUACAUAUUAAAUAAACAACAUACAUAACCAAUUAAGAUAAUUCAUUAAUGAAAUAUAUAGAUAAGAAAGUAAAUUAAAUAUUAAUUUUUUAUUUGAGUAAGUGUUGAAAAUAAUUAAUUAAAUGAAGUAAUUAAAUAUAUAUAACAAAUUAAGAUAAUUAAUUAGGGGUGGACAAAAUGUUUAGAUCAGACCAAACCAAACCUGAACCAAACCAAAUCAAACAGUUCGAUUCAGUUCAGGUCUAUCAAAAAAAUUAAUGGUUUUGAUUUUUUGAACCGAGAACCAUUUAAUUUUGGUUCUGGUUCAGUUCUAAUUAAAAAACUAGAAUUAGAACCAGAACCAGAACCAAACUUAAUAUUUAUUUUUAUAUAUAAUAAUUAGUGGAGACCCUAAUUUUAUAUUCAUUGGAGAUAGCCCAUUAAUUGAAUACAUUUUAUUAAUCAAUUUUGGAUCAUUAGAGAUAAACAAUUCAUUAGUUGUCUACACCCUAAUUUUGUAUUUAGAUUUCAGUUGAAUUAUUUCUCUUUUACUCCUUUUCAAUUUACACAACGCCGUAGCAUACUGAUAUCGCAUUUCAUCAAGUCAGUGGAGUGUCAUUUAAGAUCGAAAAAUGAAAUUCAUCAGUUACUUAAAAAGUCUUUAAACCAUUUUUUUUUUUUUUUUUACCUUGAUUGUUUGAUGUGUUAUUUGUGUUCUUCACAAAUAGAGAAAACCUCAAUAAACAUUAAUGAAAUAUUAAAUUGUUAAUGUUGUCUGUGGAAGUGGACUGUAAAAAUGUUGAUAAUUCAUUCUUUAUUAUAGAGGUGUGCCUUCAAAAAUACUAUAAUUAAUGUAGUGAAUCAUUGUUAUUAUUUAUUAAACAAUUUUUUGUAUGAAAACGAAAAUUGAUUUGUGUAUUCAAAUUAUGAAUAUAUUUUAUUUGUUAGUUAUGACUUUUUUUUAUCACGAUAAUUGAAAUUUGAACUUCCUAAAUGUUUGAUAUUUAUUUUCUUAUUUAGGUAUACAUUACUAAUUUAUAUGAUGCAAAUCUAAAAAAUUAAAAAAUUAAAUUAGAACCAAACCAAACCAGAACCGAAUGAUUCGGUUCAGUUUGGUUUCAUAUCUUUAAAAAAAAAAUCAUUUGGUUCCAUUAUAAAAAAACCAUUGAUUCAUGGUUCGAUUCGAUUCUCUUGAAACCAAAACCAUAUGGAACCAUGUCCACCCAUAUAAUGAAUUCAUAGAAUAAUUAAACGAGAAAUCAAAUUAAAUAUUAAUUUUUUAUUUAAAUAAGUAAUUUAAAUAUAGUAAUUAAAAAUUAAUUACUAAUAAUAUACAUAACAAAUUUUAUAAUUAAUUAUUGAAAUAUUUAAAAAAUUAAUUAAACAGUGAUUUGGCAUCAUUUCAACCACACAUUUUUAAUAAAAAAUGUUACAUGCAAAUUCAAAAAGAUUUCUUAUUUUUUAACCACACAUUUUUCAUUAAUACACUAUUCAAAAAUGUAUUCUUCAAAAAUAAUGGGGCUCAAAUGGGGGUAAAAUAUUAAAUAGAUAAUAUACGUAACGAAUUAAGAUUAUUAAUUAAUGAAAUAUAUAAAUAAGAAAUUAAAUUAAAUAUUUAUUUUUUUAAUUAAUUAAGUAUUUAAAAUAAUUAAUUAAAUAAAGUAAUUAAAUAUACACAACCAAUUAACAUAAUUAAUUAAAAAAGUGAUUAAAUAAAUAAUUACAUAAAGUAGUUAAAUAUUAAAUAAAUAAUAUACAUAAAAAAUUAAGAAAAAAAUUAUUUUUUAUUAAAAAACAUAAUUAAAUAACGUAAUUAACUAUUAAGUACUAAUAAUAUACAUAACAAAAUAAGACAACUAAUUACUGAAAUAAUUAAAUAGUAAUUAAAUAUUAAUUUUUUUAUUGAAAUAAGUGAUUAAAGUAAUAACUAAAUAAAGUAAUGAAAAUAUUAAAUACAUAAUAUACAUAACCAAUUAAGAUAAUUAAAUAAUGAAAUUUAAAGAAGAAAUUAAGUUAAAUAUUAAUUUUUUUUAUUUGAGUAAGUGUUUAAAAUAAAUAAUUAAAUAAAGUAAUUAAAUAUACACAACCAAUUAAGAUAAUUAAUUAAUGAAAUAUCUAAAUAAGAAAUCAAAAUAAAUAUUAAUUUCUUAAUUUCAAUAAGUGAUUAAAGUAAUAACUAAAUAAAGUAAUGAAAUAUUAAAUACAUAAUAUACAAAACCAAUUAAGAUAAUUAAUUAAUGAAAUAUCUAAAUAAGAAAUUAAAUUAAAUAUUAAUUUUUAUACAAAUAAUUGAUUAAAAUAAUAAUUAAAUAAGGUAAUGAAAUAUUAAAUACAUAAUAUACAUAACCAAUGAAGAUAAUUAAUUAAAGAAAUAUUUAAAUGAGAAAAUUAAAUAUUAAUUUUUUAAUUAAAAUAAUGGUCGCGGGACAAAGGUGCCCGAGGUCUCGGACGGGGACGGAGAGGACCCCCAACUUGACAGAUAAUGUUGCGAGUUUGGAUGACAUUAUAAUUAUGCUGGAGAGGGUAAUGCAAGUAACACUCUGCAAGAAACAUGUUAUUAACGUGCCAAAGUACAUGGUCAGCAAGAUGACUAAAUUGUCAUCACAAAUUCUUCGUACACGGUUGAGGCAAAGAGAACAUCCGUCGACGGUACGUUACCCUAUCUCUUCCGUGAAGUCCACCUGGGACGAUUGUGGAGUCUUCGCAUUGAAGAAAAUUGAGGAAAUCAGUAACAUAUUAUAAAUAGAGAGUACAUACGAUUUAAAUAGAUAUGUAUUCGUGGGGUCAAUUUUAAUGUAAUCAAUAGCACACUAUAAAUAGAGAAAAUUGAGGAAAUCAGUAACAUACUAUAAUAGAGAGUACAUACGAUUUAAAUAGAUAUUACACAUUCGUCGAGUCAAUUUUCAUUUAAGUACCUACGCGGUAGGAGAAACUUUUCGGUAGAUGAUAUUCUAGACGUAUGUUUAUAUCCAGGAGUACACGGUCAAACUUCAAGUGGCAACAAAUUAUUAAGUGUUACAAUGUAAUCGGGAACCAUGAUGUGCUUGGAUGAUGACUGACGCAACCCGUCCCGAAUCAUUCUAGUGGACACGAAAUGUGACGUGCGUCGAUGAUAAAUGCUAACUAGAUGUCAAAUUUAUCACCAAAGCUGACUAUGAGUAAUUUAAAAAAAAUGAAACAAAAACAAGUGUUUAUGUAAAACAUAAUGUGUGGGCCCAAGUUAUUUACUUUAUAUCUCAUCAAUAUGAGUUUAUAACACUCAACAUGUCGUAUGACUCUCAUUCUGAAAUUAUUAGGCUCGUCCAGCUAAAAGAAUCAAUUUCUACCUGUAAGAAAAUUACGGGAAAAUAUACGAGUUUAUAGCUCAGUGAGUGGAAGAAUUCGAAAAUAAUUAUAUUUUCUCCUUUAAACAUUUUUACCAAACAUUCAAUUCAUAUCGUUUAAUAUUCACAUGAUAGACUCAUACAAUUAUAGCAAAAAGUAAGUCACUCUUAUAACACUGUAAAUAUCAUUUUAUAAUCACAAUAUAGUCAUCAUCUGAUAUAUAUACCAUCAUCUCAUUACAUCACAUGUGAUCCACCAAAAAUGUACCAUCUGACUAAAAUUUGUAAUUCACCCCUCGGGCUAAGCACUUUCCCCACAGGCCUUUGGCCCCCUCCGUGAACGAAAGUUGAUCUCAAAGACUUCUGGUAAUCAAUUCUAGAACACAGUCAAGGCCCCGCUAUGAAUUAUAUGUGCACGGUCGAGACCAAUAUCCGAUCAAGACCCUCCGUGUAGAAUAAAACACGGCCAAGACCCCUCUAUGAAUUAGAAGAAGUACAUAAUCACGGAUACUUUUCUGAUCGAUCUCAAUAUCACGUCUCACAUACCAAACAAAUCUCAAUAUCACAUGUCUUAUAUACCAAGUCACAAACGUACAAUAAAUAAUCCUUGAAAUUCCACAUGUAUCAUAAUAAAAGAUAUUUCUGUAAUAAUUAUAAAAUCGAACACAUAAUUGCACAUACUUUACUAAUGUACUUCAUUUAUAAAUAUUUUAAAAAUAUUUAUAUUUUUCCAGUCACAGCACUAUGUUCGCAAAAUCAACUCGAUUGGUAAGCUGUCUCGAUAUCCGUAUCAUCGCUUGAAAUAUAAUAUAAUUUUUAAAUCAACAAUUUACUAUUUUAAGUAAUUUCAAUAAUUAAAUAUGCGAUAUACAAAUUUAAUCAUUUCACGUUUAAGCGAUUUCUAAAAUCUCUUUAAUCACUAAAACUAAUUUUUCUUUCAUUUAACACAAUUUCAUAAUUUAUUAUACUUAACUCCUUCAAUAAAAUUGAAUUUAAUCUGACAAUCUAACAACUAUAAAAUUAAACAUAACUUGACAAUAAGUAACUUUUUACUUACCUUUCAAAAUUGAGGAAUUCAAGCCUAAUAGUGUAGACCACUUAUUUUCUAACAACAUAGUUGAACUUUCCACUUUUUUUCUUCUUUUUCUUCCUCUUUUUCUUUUUUUUUUUCCCUCCCUCCCUUUCUUCUCUUUUCUUCUUCUUUUCCUCCUUUCUUUCUACCGAUUUUUCACUGUUUCUGCCCCAAUUCGUUCUCAACUUGCUUGUGUGUAUGUAAUAUGAAUAAUGAAGAAAUGUCAUGCAAAGUGCCACUUGUAAUCCACCACUCAACCCUUUUGCUAUCAAGUCCUCCAAGUUUCAUAUGAUAUCUUAUUAAGUCAUCUAACUUUUAAUAAUUAAUAAGUAUUUCCCCAAAUUUAAAUUUUAUCCAUCUUAAACCUUCUAAUGUUGUCAAUUUGUAAAAUAAACUCCCAAAAAAAAUUUGGUCAAUUCAAGUCCCACUAAAAUGAUUUACUUCAUUUAAGUCAUUAUUUGACUUUGAAUUUGACUUUGACUAGUCAAAUAUUGACUUUGAAUAAAUAGUAUUGACCUUUGACUAUUACGAAAUGGGAUGUAACAAUCUUACCCCUUUCAAAGAAUUUCGUCCUUAAAAUUCAUUCGGCUAAGAUUCAAACCAAUAAAUAUGUAGCGCACAGAUUUAAUCUUCCAUAAUGCCUCAUCCUGAAUGAUUUUUCCAAUCCACCUUGAUAACUUAUUUUCCAACUUUUGUCUCACUAACUAGGUAUCUCAAUUCCAUUUAAAUAGAAUCCCAUGCGUUGAUGACAUAUUUUCUGAACUUGUCUUCAUAUUUUCUGGCAUUCUAUUAGAAAUUGCACAAUGUACUUUAUUUCUGUAACUCCUUAUAUCAGCCAAAAAUAGAUGCUAAAACUCCACCAUAUAAAUCACUAUCUUAUCCAUAUAUAGUUUAUUAAUGUAUCUCAUGAACUGACUAUAUUAUUUGAAAAUAAUCCUGUAACUUUUGUCGAUUUAUCAUUAAUAAUCUAAAUUCCAUUUUGUCUCCAUUUAGUGUAUUUAGAACUCCAAAUGAAAAUUGUUUGAGGGUAACCUCUUCCAUUCUAAAUUGAUAAUAUUUGUAAAAAUUCAAUUGUUCAUGAUUUUCUAAAAUUUCAGUUAUAACCAACAACAAUUGAAAUAACUUAAUAUAUUAUUAUUUUCCUUCAUUUCUAUAUCACCCAAUAAUAAUAUAUAUACAACUUCAAGUUCAACUCUUUUUCGAAUACAAAUAUACCUUAACCUCAUGUAGUCAGUAAGUAUUGGUCUUUCCACCAUGUGAUAACGCCACAAUUCCUAAAUGUCAAUCCCAAUAUAACCAACAAUAUAUCAUGAUUUAUUCAUAUCUCUUUAUCAAUCUACAACAUAAUCCGUAUUUUAUCAGUCUACUUGGAGAACAUUUUCUAUACCAUAACAUAAAUUAUUAUCGUGAAUCAAUCACUUAUCAUCUUUCGAUAUAAGAACAAAUAUUUCCUCAGAAUUUUCUGAUAGCAAAACUUUUGACAUUUCUAUACUCAUAUAAAUUUUGUUCUUUCUUUCUAUGAAAAGGCAAUAAUAACAUUUAAUCCAUGAAAAUCUAUGCUUUUAUUCCAUAAAUGGGUCAUUGAUCUAUCACCAAUACAUAAUCCUUCUUAUAUAUUGCAUAAAGACAUUUAAUUGAGAUAAUGUAACCUAAAGAUACUAUUUUACAAUAAGUAAGAUCUUUAUUUGAUGAUCAUUUUAAACUUUAGAAAUAUCCAAAUCCAACAUGUCCUACUUAUAUUCCUUAACAAAUAUAUUUUGAUGAAAAUGGAAUACUUUGUUUGUGAUCCAUACAAUUGAAAAUGGCCCAAAAAUUACAUCACUAAAAUUUCAAUAAAUUCAUCUUAACUUCAAAAUUUAACUCAAUGCUUCCAAAUUGUAUGAUAUGUAACACAAUAAUCCAACGAAUGGCCUUAAAGAAAUUAAUUAACUUAAUAACCCAAUUUAUCAUCACAUUAUUUUGUUAUAGGACAACCAUUAUAUUCAUUUACAUGCUAUUCACCAUAUCAUGUUAUGAUCAUGUAACAUUGGCAUUUUAUCAUCAUAUUGUAUGACCUAAAAUAUUUAAUUAUAUUAAUUUUCCAUAAUACCACAAGAUAAUAACCUUCAUAUUUAUCACAUGAACGUUUCACAUAUCAAUAUACCGCAUGUUAAUUUCCCAAUCUCAACAAAUUUCGAUUCUACAUUCUCUAAUUUUUUUUCUUCCCACAUAAACAUACCUAAAUGCACAUAUCCAUUUAAUUCUAUUUUUAAAGCAACUAAUCACCUCAUAAUAGGUAAUCAUUACGAAGUUCAUCCCUAUUAUUCUCACAUUCCUUAUAAUCAAACAACUCAUAAAUUAUCGAAAUAAUUGGAAUUACCAUUAAUUUCCUCGAUGCCUAAAAUACAAUAACACAUUGUUAUCUAUCAACCAACAAACCAUCAUUUGUCUUCCACAAUUUCUUAUCAUAUGGCAUAAAUAUACACCAUUAUAGUUUCUAUUAUCAUAUGGCAUAAAUAUACACCAUUAUAAGUGGCCACAAUUCACCACAAAAUUUUCAUAAUGCCACUAAUCAUUUAGUUCCCCAAAAGAAUUAAAAUUCCUCACCUAAUUAUCACCAUUUACACAUAUAAUACCGUUUUCACUGUUACUAUAGUACAAGCUAGAAUUAGGGAUUUCCCAAGUGUAUAUUAAAAACCACGAAAUUCAACACAAAGAUUGGUACUUAAAUGGUUGUACUCUAUCACUUCGAAUGUCUAUAAGUAAAUAACCAACAAUACCAUCAAAACUUUCACCCUCAAAUUAACAAUAUGCUCAACUCUUAAAAAGCUACAUACACCAUCAUCCCAACCCACACUUUCAACCAUCAGAUAAUGUAACUGAUGUACUUACAUACUACUCAUUAAUUUUACCGAUCAUAGUCUUAAACGAAACUAACUUACUCAAUGUGAAUGUUUACCUAAAUAAACCCCAAUUUUAGAAAGAAACCCCUAAAUUGGAAUGCAAACCCUAAUUUAUGAAAUUUUUACGAUUGAAAUGAGAUUAAUAUGCAAGACGGGAUUUUUAACAACCUAGAAUGCAAAACAACUGUUGAGAGUGCAAAUUAUUAGUAUUCAAUGUAAAUUAAGCGUACUAGGAACACAAUUUCCCACUCAACGAUCAUCUUAAACCCUAAUUUUACAAUGUGACAACACGAUUGAGUUGUUGACGAAUCAAUGCUCAUAAAUCUAUUCAAUACUUUCUCUCGAGAUGUAUUGGCUCUUAUAAAAUAAUGUAGUUCAAUUUUAUGUGUUUCACAUCUCUCUUUGUUGAAUUCUUCAUAAAUUUGAUUAUUAAAAUUACAAAAAGAGAAAGAUAGCGAGCUCAAAAUAAUUAAGAGAGAUGUUGUAGAGCUUUAAUUCGAUUUUCUCCGGUAGAAACGAAACUAUAGUAGAAUAACAGAUUUGAAUAAAAUUGAGGUUCAUUUGAUUAAGUUGAUAUUGAACUAAAAAUUAGAAAUAGGAAUCAUAUUUUGUGGUUUGAAUUAAAUUAACUAGUUACCAAAUUUAUUUAGAAAAAGUAAAUAAUUUUACUUAUUUAAAAUAAAUUAAUUAAAAAAUUACGGAGAUUCGAUUCUUAUUCGGUUAUUCGGGUCUUGGCCUAGAACCGAGAGUCGAACCAUACCCGUCGGUUCUUGAUUCAAAUACCCGUUCGAGUAUUUAACUUGAGAAGAACCGUCGGAUUCGAUUCGGUGGGUUCGGUUCGAAAGUUUUGUCCAGCCCUAGUUACAUUGCUCAAAUAUUUACAUUAUCCAGGUGAAGGGAUGGUCCAGGGUAGGUAGGGACUGUUGUUGCUUUCGUAGCAUUCGCUUGACACAGUAAAUGAAAGAAGGAAGAAAUGGCCUGUGCUAUUCUCCGAGAAAGAUUAUAUGAAUAAUUAGACAACCAGUAUGGAUUAAUCACUUGUUUUUACACAAUAAUUGUCUAAGAUUGAAUCUACAAACGAAAUAUCCUAACUAAACAGCAUGGCAUUCAUUUCAUCGGCCAAUUCUCUAAUUGCUUGUCCUUGUGGAAAAUGAUUUCUGCAACGUAUUUUCCUUUUUCCGUCUUGCUCUGGGAAACUGAACUUGCCAUGUCUGAGGUUGGAGUAAUUCAGACAAAAGCUUCAACAUCUACAAGCAGAAAUGUUCUGUCAUGCGGAAAGUUUCUAGUAAUAUAAGAAUACGCAAAAGUCUAGUAAUUUCAAAAUCUAACAAAGAUUGUAUAAAAUCUGUCAUCUGAUGGAUGCAGCAUAUUUAGCAUUGAAUGGAAAUAUUUGGGUCCUUCACCAGCAGACUUUGAACUUCCACCUAGGGUAGAGAUUUAAAAAAAAAUGGAAAGUGAAAUAUUAAUACUUAACAUUAUAUCUUAUGUUACCUCAAUAUUUAAGGAGCUGGACUUUAAUCUUCUCCAGUGAUGAGACAACUUCUUUCAUGCUUGGCCUGUUUUCAGUAUAUUCUGCCGUGCAAUUUACUGCCACGUUCAUAAUGGAUGAUAUACACUCCAGCUUUUCGCUUAUGUGUUGUCCCUCUGCACUUAGUAUGUUGGUAUCUACAACCUGAUCUAUGGCAUGUGGAUUUGAAUUAGUAACCCAAUUCCUCAAACUUAACCCUUCUGAAAACAUAUCAUCAGUGGGCCGCCUACUUGUAAAAGUUUCCAUCAACAUAAUGCCAUAACUAUAAAUAUCACACCUCAUUGUAACUAUUCCUUCUGUUCCAUAUUCUGCGAAGUGUUACGUCAUGUAAUGCGGUUAUUGAUUUGGAAAGGAUUAUUUAACUAUUUUUCAGGAGGAUAUAAUAUUUGAAGCAUAAUGAAAGCCACAAGACUCACCUGGUGCCAUAUAACCAAAUGUAGCUAGGGUCGUGGUAUGCUUAAUAGUUUCUUCCUCUUCUAACAGUUUUGCAAUGCCAAAGUCGCUCACAUGUCCAACCAAAUCUUGAUCUAGCAAGACAUUGCUAGGCUUCAAGUCACAGUGAACAACCGGAGUUGAGUAACUGUGGUGGAGAUACUCAAUUGCACGUGCUACAUCUGUCAUAAUGUUCAAUCUCUGAAUAACAUCCAAGGAAUGACCAUCAGAAUGCAACCACUCUUCUAGGCUCCCAUUAGGCAUGUACUCAAGGAUUAAGGCCUUAAAAUCAAGGUUGGAACAGCUGCUGAUAACUUUGGUGAGAUUCCGGUGACGAAGGUUCUUUAACACUUCACACUCUAUUUCGAAACUCUUGAAUGCACCUUCCAAUUGCAAAUGAAACACUUUUAUGGCAACAAUUGUCCCAUCAGUGAGUGAUCCUUUGAAAACUGAUCCAAAACUUCCUCUGCCAAGCAAGUUUCUAUCGUUAAACCCAUCAGUUGCUUGUUGAAGUUGAUAGAACGAAAUUCUUUGAAGCAUUUUAUCAGGUAUUGAAUCAGCCUGAGCUUGAACCUGUCUUAGUCGGUAUCUUAACCACAAAAGUAUGAUGACCAAGGUGGCUGCUGCCAAUGCAGUUGUUAUUGGAAUAAGUACAGCCAACACCACUUUCUUAUUCUUUGAUCUGGGCGAAGAAUUAACUCGACAAGGUGGGACAUGGAAUUGAGGUUUACCACAAAUAGCUUCAUUUGACAAGAAAGAAAGGUAAGUGAAAUUCUCAAAGGGCCUUCCACUUGGAAUUUCUCCACUUAAUUUGUUGAACGAUACAUUGAAAUACAUUAGAUGUUGAAGGGCCUCGAGUGACCUUGGGAUCAUGCCAGUGAGACUGUUGUUGGAUAGAUCCAGAUUUUCUAAACUAAUCAAUUUCCCCAUGGAGUCUGGAAUACUUCCUUCAAAUUUAUUAUCAGCCAAAGACAGAUAGAUCAAGUUUGGUAACUUAAUUAUUGUACUUGGAAUAUAGCCUGAGAACUGAUUCUUUGAUAGAUUUAAUUCAAUUACAGCCUGUAAUCUUGCAACUUCAGGUGGUAGGGAUCCAUUCAAGAGAUUUGAGGACAGAUCGAAAUACAGGAUAUCUUUAAGAUUCCAAAGGCUUGCAGGUAUGCUAUAUGUUAAUUUGUUGAAACCAAGAAAAAGCUUUCUUAGAGAAGUAACAUUGCCUAAGCAUUCAGGCAAUGCUCCAAGAAUUUUAUUUCGGGUCAGGGACAGUUGAUACAAGUUUGGCAAAUGACAAAGACUCGUUGGAAUUAUUCCUCCUAUGUUGUUGAACGGACAGUAUAAUACCUGCAGCUGCUGCAAACCAUUGAAUUCAUAUGGAAUAAAUCCACUCAAAUCAUUGUCAGAUAAGUUUAUUAUUAUCAAGUUGCUCAAGUUACUUAUCUGUUUUGGUAUGCCACCCUUAAGUUCAGAAUAACUCGCCUCAAAGUAAUCAAGGUUAGAGAUGUUCCCAAUGGAUUCUGGAAGGAUGCCUUUAAGAGGAUUGAAACCGACUAAAAUUUGUCUUAGAUGUCUGCAUCUGGUCAAGGAAGUGAUGAAGCUCAGCUCUUGAUCAGCUUCCAAAUUGUUGUGAUGGAGAUAGAGAGAUUGGAGGAAUUUUAGGUUACCAAGACUAUUGGGAAUUAGACCAGUAAACUGAUUUACAGAAAGGUCUAGAUCCCGUAGCUUCGAAGAAUUUGAGAGAGAGUUGGGGAAAACUCCUGUGAGGUUAUUUAGGUCAAGAUAGAGCACUUCAAGAUUAGGCAUGUUAUUGCCUAUACUUGAUGGAAGAGAGCCUGAAAGGGAAUUAAGGGCGAGACUUAACGUUCUUAAACUCGAGCUGUUGAAGAGGAUGUCUGGAAUAGAGCCCCUCAAGCUAUUAUUAAACAAAUCUAGUUCUUCCAAUCCAUGAAGAUAUCCAAGCUCCUGGGGUAUAAAGCCUGCGACAUUAUUUUGUGCGUUAGUGCCUACAAAUGAUUAAUAACAACCUUAAUACGAUCCAAUAUACAGUUCUUUGGAUCCCGGAACAUGCUUAUUUCAGUUGGAAAUGAUAAUGACUGCUUAAAUAGUGAAAAUAUAUAAUUUUUCUUUAUAUUGAAGAACCCAUUUGGGAAAUAUUAAUCAAAUACUCCAUUUUCUGUAGUGGUUAAAAAAUUUUAACCAUACCUUCUAAAAUGUUGGAGCGAAGAUUUAACACCUCAAGCAUAGUCAGAUUCCCUAUUUCUCUUGGAAUGAGUCCUGUUAAUUUGUUGCUAUACAGGUCCAAUACCUGAAGCUCUGUGCAUUCUGAUAUAUCCAGUGGAAUUUGGCCAUUUAGGCUGUUAGAUGCGAGCGACAGAAAUCUGAGUUUUGUUACAUUAUGGCACAUGUCUUCUGGAAUAUUGCCGGACAAGAAAUUGUCCUGAAGAUUCAUAAUUUCUAGUGAAGAGAUCUGUAAUAUUGAUCUUGGUAAAAAACCAGAAAUUCUGUUGCUUCUCAUUCUCAAAAUUUUUAGGCUACCAAGAUUACCAAUAUCUAAUGGGAUCUGUUCUUGAAGAAAAUUGAAGUCCAUGUUCAGGAUCUCCAGCCUCGACAGGUUACAGAGUGAAGAUGGAAUGGCUCCUUCAAAAGAGUUGUUAGCAAUAAUCAA
rnacentral:lncRNA from 1 species